rnacentral:rRNA from 1 species
CCUACGGGAGGCUGCAGUGGGGAAUAUUGGACAAUGGGGGAAACCCUGAUCCAGCGACGCCGCGUGAGUGAAGAAGUAUUUCGGUACGUAAAGCUCUAUCAGCAGGAAAGAAAAUGACGGUACCUGUCUAAGAAGCCCCGGCUAACUACGUGCCAGCAGCCGCGGUCAUACGUAGGUGGCAAGCGUUAUCCGGGAUGACUGGGCGUAAAGGGUGCGUAGGUGGGUUAGUAAGUUGGCGGGGUAAUUCCGGGGCUCAACCUCGGCGCUACCGCCAAAACUAGUAGACUUGAGUUCAGGAGGGGUAAGUGGAAUUCCUGGUGUAGCGGUGGAAUGCGUAGAUAUUAGGAAGAACA